GCUCAGAUCUUGGUGGCCGUCGGCAGCGACCUGGUUUCUGCACUUGCACUGGUGUUCCGAUGACGCCGGUGUGCCAAGGGUGUUCCGAUGACGCCGGUGUGCCAAGUCUGAUUGCUACGGCCCGAUGCGAAACGACUCAUCGUCGAUCGGAGAUUACCGACGCGAUUGAAGACGGCCGAAGCGCGUGUGUCCAGACCGCCUGACUCCGAAGUGGACGUAGCUAGACGGGUAUUAAUCGUGUCGGAUUUCUUACAGCCGUGGAAUCGGAAGCGGGGACCGAACCCCGGCUGCUGACCGUGAUGGGUCGAAAUUAACGUACCUUGGUUGUCUGUUCUGAACUGCAUACGCCGUACUGACCGUACGAAUGGACGGCUUGGUAGACGAGAAUGUGUAUGCCCAACCGGAAGUGUUGC